rnacentral:lncRNA from 1 species
GUUCUUUAUAGACAAGCUGUUAUGGUAAUGGGUAGAAAUUGGUUUAUUGUCCAGUGUUGAUCUAAUUUACAUAAAUAAAAAGAUUGUUGUGUUUUUGUUGUGUUUUCAUCUUCAGUUUCUUGAAUACAGAUAUGGCUUAGUUCUACAGACAGAAAAAAAAAAAGUACAGCCAAGAACUUUUCUUUUUAUACCCCCAUUAUUUAAACACCGGCAGUGCUUUCCUUACAAUAAAUACAAUAAAUUUUGCUUCUGAGAAGAAUGGAUGCUUUUGUUUUCACUAGGAGGAGUUUUUGAUUUUUUGAAAUUCCAAAUCAACACUCUUUCCUAUUUCUAACCAGAAUUGCAAUACAAACUCAUGUUAACUACAUCUCUUGGUUUACUUUGCUCUAAAAAAAAAAAAAAAAUGAGGUUGUCAGAUUUACUUCCCAGGUAACUAAAAGGUAAUUAAAGACUCUGUGUUCCAGGAACUAAGGGCCUCUGGGUCCAAGUCAAAGAUGAUGGCCCCCUCAUGUUGCUAGUGGGAUGGCACUCUGGCAUGAUGCUCUUUGAAGGAGAUGGUACAGGAGAGAAGCCCACAGGACCAGGUGAACUCAUUCUCAGUUGGAUUUCCCUGUAGGGAAAGACAGAAAGGACAAUGGAAUCUACUUUAUGUGAGAUUUCCCACUUUUUGGCUUACUUAUUAAUUUAAAAAAGGGGGGAAGGUUUUCAAGGCUAGAACCAUAAUUGACUGAAUCAAAGAACACCCCCCCCAAAAAAGGGAAGUAGAAGAAAAAAGAAAACAAGGGAAGUGUGAUUAAGAGGGUGGGAAAUCCACUUAUCGACAAAGAAAAUGGGUAUAUGCUUUUUGUCUCUGGUUCAAGUGAAUUCCACUGAGUUUCCUUUUUAUUUGUUUUUUGGAGAGUGAGG